rnacentral:rRNA from 1 species
CCUACGGGUGGCAGCAGUGGGGAAUAUUGCACAAUGGGGGAAACCCUGAUGCAGCAACGCCGCGUGAGGGAAGAAGGCCUUCGGGUCGUAAAGCUCUGUCCUAAGGGAAGAAACAUGACGGUACCUUAGGAGGAAGCCCCUGCUAACAACGUGACAGCAGCCGCGGGAAUACGUAGGGGGCGAGCGUUCUCCGGAAUCACGGGGCGUAAAGGGUGCGGAGGCGGCCAAUUAAGCCAGGGGUGAAAGGCUACGGCUCAACCGUAGUAAGCCCUUGGAACUGAAUGGCUUGAGUGCAGGAGAGGAGCGUGGAAUUCCUAGUGUAGCGGUGAAAUGCGUAGAUAUUAGGAGGAACACCAGUGGCGAAGGCGACUCUCUGGACUGUAACUGACGCUGAGGUACGAAAGCGUGGGGAGCAAACAGGAUUAGAUACCCGUGUAGUC